rnacentral:rRNA from 1 species
GACGAACGCUGGCGGCGUGCUUAACACAUGCAAGUCGAACGUGAUUUUUGUGGAAAUUCUUUCGGGAAUGGAAAUGAAAUGAAAGUGGCGAACGGGUGAGUAACACGUGAGCAACCUACCUUACACAGGGGGAUAGCCGUUGGAAACGACGAUUAAUACCGCAUGAGACCACAGAAUCGCAUGAUAUAGGGGUCAAAGAUUUAUCGGUGUAAGAAGGGCUCGCGUCUGAUUAGCUAGUUGGAAGGGUAAAGGCCUACCAAGGCGACGAUCAGUAGCCGGUCUGAGAGGAUGAACGGCCACAUUGGAACUGAGACACGGUCCAAACUCCUACGGGAGGCAGCAGUGGGGAAUAUUGCACAAUGGGGGGAACCCUGAUGCAGCGACGCCGCGUGAGCGAAGAAGGUUUUCGAAUCGUAAAGCUCUGUCCUAUGAGAAGAUAAUGACGGUAUCAUAGGAGGAAGCCCCGGCUAAAUACGUGCCAGCAGCCGCGGUAAUACGUAUGGGGCGAGCGUUGUCCGGAAUUAUUGGGCGUAAAGGGUACGUAGGCGGCCUUUUAAGUCAGGUGUGAAAGCGUGAGGCUUAACCUCAUUAAGCACUUGAAACUGGAAGGCUUGAGUGAAGGAGAGGAAAGUGGAGUUCCUAGUGUAGCGGUGAAAUGCGUAGAUAUUAGGAGGAAUACCGGUGGCGAAGGCGACUUUCUGGACUUUUACUGACGCUCAGGUACGAAAGCGUGGGGAGCAAACAGG